rnacentral:rRNA from 1 species
UACGUAGGGGGCGAGCGUUGUCCGGAUUCAUUGGGCGUAAAGAGCUCGUAGGCGGCUUGGCAAGUCGGGUGUGAAAUCUCUGGGCUUAACUCAGAGAGGCCACUCGAUACUGCUAUGGCUAGAGUCCGGUAGGGGACCAUGGAAUUCCUGGUGUAGCGGUGAAAUGCGCAGAUAUCAGGAGGAACACCGGUGGCGAAGGCGGUGGUCUGGGCCGGCACUGACGCUGAGGAGCGAAAGCCAGGGGAGCGAACGGG